AUUGAACGCUGGCGGCAGGCCUAACACAUGCAAGUCGAACGGUAACAGGAAGCAGCUUGCUGCUUUGCUGACGAGUGGCGGACGGGUGAGUAAUGUCUGGGAAACUGCCCGAUGGAGGGGGAUAACUACUGGAAACGGUAGCUAAUACCGCAUAACGUCGCAAGACCAAAGAGGGGGACCUUAGGGCCUCUUGCCAUCGGAUGUGCCCAGAUGGGAUUAGCUAGUAGGUGGGGUAACGGCUCACCUAGGCGACGAUCCCUAGCUGGUCUGAGAGGAUGACCAGCCACACUGGAACUGAGACACGGUCCAGACUCCUACGGGAGGCAGCAGUGGGGAAUAUUGCACAAUGGGCGCAAGCCUGAUGCAGCCAUGCCGCGUGUAUGAAGAAGGCCUUCGGGUUGUAAAGUACUUUCAGCGGGGAGGAAGGGAGUAAAGUUAAUACCUUUGCUCAUUGACGUUACCCGCAGAAGAAGCACCGGCUAACUACGUG
rnacentral:rRNA from 1 species